rnacentral:misc_RNA from 1 species
GUAGGUGAACCUGCGGAAGGAUCAUUACAAAUCUUUGGGGGCCAGUCGCCUAGUGCGCUGGUCUCACAUUAGCACAAGGUCGCAAGGCCUUGAUGUUUACGCUUGUUUGUUUGACAGAGUUAGUUGAGAAAAAAUAAAGACAACUUUUAACAAUGGAUCUCUUGGCUCUU